rnacentral:rRNA from 1 species
AGAGUUUGAUUAUGGCUCAGGAUGAACGCUAGCGACAGGCUUAACGCAUGCAAGUCGAGGGGCAGCAUAGAAGUAGCAAUACUUGGUGGCGACCGGCGCACGGGUGAGUAACGCGUAUGCAACCUACCUAUCAGAGGGGAAUAACCCGGCGAAAGUCGGACUAAUACCGCAUAAAACAGGGGCACCGCAUGGUGAUAUUUGUUAAAGAAAUUCGCUGAUAGAUGGGCAUGCGUUCCAUUAGGUAGUUGGUGAGGUAACGGCUCACCAAGCCGACGAUGGAUAGGGGAACUGAGAGGUUGGUCCCCCACACUGGUACUGAGACACGGACCAGACUCCUACGGGAGGCAGCAGUGAGGAAUAUUGGUCAAUGGGCGGGAGCCUGAACCAGCCAAGUCGCGUGAAAGGAAGAAGGAUCUAUGGUUCGUAAACUUCUUUUGCAGGGGAAUAAAGUGCAGGACGUGUCCUGUUUUGUAUGUACCCUGAGAAUAAGGAUCGGCUAACUCCGUGCCAGCAGCAGC